AAGGUCGUAACAAGGUUUCCCGUAGGUGAACCUGCGGAAGGAUCAUUAGAAAGUCGUGCUCGGCGGUAAAGCGCCCGGACCUACCUUCAAACCACUGUGAAACCAAACCAGUUGCUUCGCGGCCUGCCCGGCGAGAGCCGGCGCUGUCAGUCCGCAGAAGCCCAAAGCACAAACCUUUCUGUAACAGUCUGUCUGAUACAAAUGAAUUAAAACUUCGUUAAAA
rnacentral:misc_RNA from 1 species